UGAAUCAGCAGGCCCAACAACAUAGACAGCCGCUCGCCUGCCGAUUAUUCGUGUGUGGCCCAAUAACUUGGGCUGCUUAUUGGGCCCUCUAGCCUAUAGCCCGUAAGCCCAUGGCCUGGAUAUGCGGCGGCAGCAAACCCAAGCUUCCACCGUUUGACCAUUCCACGGCGGCGGAGGCCGGCCGCCGGCAGCUUUUCCGAGUUGCAGAGUGAAUCCAGUAUUCCAGUAGCCAUGGCGGUGCGCUUGGUGGUAAGCCUGCGCGCGAUGAUGGCGUCGUGUCCCCCUCUGCGGUGCCGUAUGCUGCUGCGCGGCGGCGAGCCGGCGACUGCAGCUGGUUUAGUGACGGCAGUCCUUAUUGUUCAGGAAGGAAAGAAUUGUACUUACAUGACCUUCAUCCUCAUGUCAUCCUUCUGCUUCCUCCACCAUAGCCUGUAGAAUUGUGAAGGAAAACAUACCAGUGCCUUGAAGGAGAUGAGAGAGCCAUUGAAGAUGCGCGUCUUGAGCCUGUCAUCAGCUUUUCAAGCAGCUUGGUGGCAUCGAAUCUGUUUUGACAUGGCAAAUCCUGACAUCAGUCAUCAUGUCUUCCUACCAUGCAGAGUGCAGUAGAUCUGAAAAGCGUGGAUGAUGAGCAGCAGCAUUCAGCGGAGCAUCUGCAGGUUGCAAGGUUGGAGAUGGGUGGUACAAUGAUUGAUUGCUGGUUUGCAGUAGAUGUGGUGAGCGAGCCUUAGAAGGCUAGUAACAUUGUCAGAGCUGUACACACACACAGUAGCAGCUAGCCUAGCUGUUGUGCCAUGGCAUUCCUGCUAGUUGCUGGGCACAUAUGGUCCUUCUCUGAGGAAUCACGCGGAGUUGCUCCAUGCACAAGCCCAAGAAGAGGGCAUAUGACGACGUCGUUGCCCUUGCAGCUACGCUCAUGAGGCAUGUAAAGAUUCAGUACAUGUAGUUAAGAGUGAGAUUCUAUAUGAUGCUGUCGUUACCCUUGCAGGUACGUACGUUCCUGUACAUCUGGAUAGAGAGGCAUGUAAAGAUUCAGUACAUCUAAUUAUUAGGAGUGAGAUUGUUUGCAUCAA